rfam:Escherichia hermannii NBRC 105704 DNA, contig: EH10570413.
AACCGACAUUAGCGAUUCGUUUUGCGAACCCGCGCCAACCGCCAGAUAGGAGUGCAUGCCGAGUUCUUUCAUCUGCUGUUCGCCAAUCACGCGGGUCACCACGUUUUUGCUGAACGAGUCGGCCAGCUGGCGCGCCUGGGAGGCGAGAUACGCCGCGUUACAGAUAUUCGGCGGCAUAUUGCCUAAAUCUUUCGC